rnacentral:rRNA from 1 species
UGGGUAAUAUUGCACAAUCGGCGCAAGCCUGAUGCAGCCAUGCGGCGUGUAUGAAGAAGGCCUUCGGGUUGUAAAGUACUUUCAGCGGGGAGGAAGGGAGUAAAGUUAAUACCUUUGCUUCUUGACGUUACCCGCAGAAGAAGCACCGGCUAACUCCGUGCCAGCAGCCGCGGUAAUACGGAGGGUGAAAGCGUUAAUCGGAAUUACUGGGCGUAAAGCGCACGCAGGCGGUCGAUUGAGUCAGAUGUGAAAUCCCCGGGCUUAACCCGGGAAUUGCAUCUGAUACUGGUCGGCUAGAGUAUUGUAGAAGGGGGUAGAAUUCCAUGUGUAGCGGUGGAAUGCGUAGAGAUGUGGGGGAAUACCGGUGGCGAAGGCGGCCCCCUAGACAAAGACUGACGCUCAGGUGCGAAAGCGUGGGGAGCAAACAGG